AAAAACCUUUCUCCAAUUUGAGUGUGUCAGAAUUCCCUAAGAGCCUCGAUGGGACUCCGCGAGAAUAGGGACAAGUGUAGUGUGGAAAGGCCAGCCCUCAAGUGUCCAAGAUCAGAGGGAGCUCAAUGGGUCCCAAGAAAGGCUCACACGAGGGGGAAAAACUUAAAGUCUAAGAGAGAGUGCAAGUGCAAAAAUAGAACUUUAAGAACUAUAGAAAUAAAGAAGAUGGAAACAGCCAUAAACAAGUCAUACAAAGGGUUUAGAGAUUGGGAAAAUUGCCAAAGAGCAUAUGUGUUUAGGCAUUAGCCAAUUCUGGGUAGGCACAACAAUGGAGAAUGUUGUUACGCUUACAGAAUCAACAAGAAUACAGAAUAUAUGAUGGUGACAUAGAGGUUGUGAUUCAAGGGGAAACGAGUUUGAGCCAUAGACAAUAAUACUCAAUACUGCCAUGUCUCAAACAAACCAUUAGCCUCAAACACAUUGGGGUAUGGGGGCUUGGGAUUCAUAAUAGGAGGAAAUUAUAGCAUGCUAAAGUAAACACUAAACUAACACAAGCAAUAGGCAGACAUACAAGUAAAGCUUUUAAGUAAACACAUUAUGUGUGAUUGUUGAAAAUCUUAAUUCGGACACACCAACUUCAAGGAAGCAAAAUACAGUAAAAGCAGUAGCAGGACUCGGAAAAUAGGCCCCAUUACAUGUAACAAGGAAGAAUGCUUUUUGAAUGUGAGUAUGAGUUCAGAAAACUAAGAGUGUUCGUGUGUUUGUCAAGGAAAGAGCAUGGAAUUUAUAGUUUGAAAAUAGACAGAAAAUAAGGCAAGAAAGUCACCAUGUACCAAUUAAAAUCAAUCAGUGGAAGAAAUUCCUUUAGUUAAGGAGUUCAAACUUAAACUAUAAUGAACAUAAAUCAUUUAAGGAAAGAGAUCAAGUAAACAUCUUGUGCAAAAUAGACAAUUAGGGGUAAAUGUAUAAGAUUUUAAUUAAGGAAAGAAUCUUUGAAAUACAUGGUUAAACAAAUGAGGUAAGAUCAAUCAGUACAUAGUAAAUCAAGGAGUCAGAGAUUCGAAAUUACUGGUUCAUGAAUAGACCAAGUCAAAAAGGCUAUGGUAAGUUUUCAAAUAACAUCAACAAAUAGGGAAAUAAAUAAUCAGACUUACACAAGUAGGUAUGAAAUCAGUCAAAAAUUGAAAGUCAUUUUAGAGAGGAAGCUCAACAUAUAUAAAUAGCACACAAGUAUUAGGCAUGUGAGGCUUAAUUUAGGACAAAGAAAAGUGUCACACAAUUACAAAAUCAGUAAGUAGUAGACUAUAGGAACAUGGUAGUCCCAUAGUUCAGUUUCAAUAACCAAUGGAGAAGAGAGAGAGAGUAUCAAAUAGCGUGCAAUGGGUUCAGUAGAAAGACCUUAGAAGAGUUUAGAAGGGAUUUAGAAUAAGAUAAAGAAACAAAAUAUUUUGAAAUUCAGUCGAACAAUAGAUGAGACAACUUCAGAAACUCAAGUAGGUCCAAAGAAAUUAGGCUUUUGAAACCAAACAAGUUCAGAAAUGAGAAACAAACAAGUCACAUAGCAAAUAAUAUCAGAACUCAAAUGAACCCCAAAUCUUAGGGUUUUUUCCAUUAAUCGACUGU
rnacentral:lncRNA from 1 species